AGAGUUUGAUCCUGGCUCAGGACGUUUUCUGGCGGCGCGCCUAACACAUGCAAGUCGAACGGAGCUUAGAGAGCUUGCUUUUUAAGCUUAGUGGCGAACGGGUGAGUAACGCGUGAGUAACCUGCCCUAGAGUGGGGGACAACAGUUGGAAACGACUGCUAAUACCGCAUAAGCCCACGGUACCGCAUGGUACUGAGGGAAAAGGAUUUAUUCGCUUUAGGAUGGACUCGCGUCCAAUUAGUUAGUUGGUGAGGUAACGGCCCACCAAGGCGACGAUUGGUAGCCGGACUGAGAGGUUGAACGGCCACAUUGGGACUGAGACACGGCCCAUACUCCUACGGGAGGCAGCAGUGGGGGAUAUUGCACAAUGGGGGAAACCCUGAUGCAGCGACGCCGCGUGGAAGGAAGAAGGUUUUCGGAUUGUAAACUCCUGUCGUUAGGUACGAUAAUGACGGUACCUAACAAGAAAGCACCGGCUAACUACGUGCCAGCAGCCGCGGUAAAACGUAGGGUGCAAGCGUUGUCCGGAAUUACUGGGUGUAAAGGGAGCGCAGGCGGGAAGACAAGUUGGAAGUGAAAACCAUGGGCUCAACCCAUGAAUUGCUUUCAAAACUGUUUUUCUUGAGUAGUGCAGAGGUAGAUGGAAUUCCCGGUGUAGCGGUGGAAUGCGUAGAUAUCGGGAGGAACACCAGUGGCGAAGGCGGUCUACUGGGCACCAACUGACGCUGAGGCUCGAAAGCAUGGGUAGCAAACAGGAUUAGAUACCCUGGUAGUCCAUGCCGUAAACGAUGAUUACUAGGUGUUGGGGGAUUGACCCCCUCAGUGCCGCAGUUAACACAAUAAGUAAUCCACCUGGGGAGUACGACCGCAAGGUUGAAACUCAAAGGAAUUGACGGGGGCCCGCACAAGCAGUGGAGUAUGUGGUUUAAUUCGAAGCAACGCGAAGAACCUUACCAGGUCUUGACAUCCGAUGCAUAGCACAGAGAUGUGUGAAAUCCUUCGGGACAUCGAGACAGGUGGUGCAUGGUUGUCGUCAGCUCGUGUCGUGAGAUGUUGGGUUAAGUCCCGCAACGAGCGCAACCCUUAUUGCCAGUUACUACGUUAAGAGGACUCUGGCGAGACUGCCGUUGACAAAACGGAGGAAGGUGGGGAUGACGUCAAAUCAUCAUGCCCUUUAUGACCUGGGCUACACACGUACUACAAUGGCGUUAAACAAAGAGAAGCAAGACCGCGAGGUGGAGCAAAACUCAAAAACAACGUCUCAGUUCAGAUUGCAGGCUGCAACUCGCCUGCAUGAAGUCGGAAUUGCUAGUAAUCGCGGAUCAGCAUGCCGCGGUGAAUACGUUCCCGGGCCUUGCACACACCGCCCGUCA
rnacentral:rRNA from 1 species